UAGGGAAUCUUCGGCAAUGGACGAAAGUCUGACCGAGCAACGCCGCGUGAGUGAAGAAGGUUUUCGGAUCGUAAAACUCUGUUGUUAGAGAAGAACAAGGACGUUAGUAACUGAACGUCCCCUGACGGUAUCUAACCAGAAAGCCACGGCUAACUACGUGCCAGCAGCCGCGGUAAUACGUAGGUGGCAAGCGUUGUCCGGAUUUAUUGGGCGUAAAGCGAGCGCAGGCGGUUUCUUAAGUCUGAUGUGAAAGCCCCCGGCUCAACCGGGGAGGGUCAUUGGAAACUGCGAGGCUUGAGUGCAGCAGAGGAGAGUGGAAUUCCAUGUGUAGCGGUGACAUGCGUAGAUAUAUGGAGGAACACCAGUGGCGAAGGCGGCUAUCUGGUCUGUAACUGACGCUGAGGCUCGAAAGCGUGGGGAGCAAACAGG
rnacentral:rRNA from 1 species